rnacentral:rRNA from 1 species
UACAGAGGGGGCAAGCGUUGUUCGGAAUUACUGGGCGUAAAGGGCGCGUAGGCGGCCUGUUAAGUCGAACGUGAAAUCCCCGGGCUCAACCCGGGAACUGCGUCCGAUACUGGCAGGCUUGAAUCCGGGAGAGGGAUGUGGAAUUCCAGGUGUAGCGGUGAAAUGCGUAGAUAUCAAGUGGAACACCAGUGGCGAAGGCGAGUCUCUGGACAUUUCCUGACGCUGAGGCACGAAAGCCAGGGGAGCAAACGGG